rnacentral:rRNA from 1 species
AUGUUAUCAACUUUAGAGGGGUUCAACUCGUGUUUAUCCCUGCUGUCUGGAAAUUGAGAGUUCCCCCUAAAAUUCAUGUAUUUCUCUGGCUUCUCUCCAAAAACAUUGGUGACUAGGGAUAACCUUAGGAAGAGACACAUCAUCAAACCCCUUGAUUGUGUUUACUGCUUGAAACAAAGUAUUUCUCACCUAUUUUUUGAAUGUAUAGUUGCUAAACAUCUCUGGGCCCACAUUGAGGAAUAUUUCUCUAGUCAGAUUGGCUCAUCCUUCAAAUCUGUCGCCAGAUUCUGGAUUGCUACCAAAAUGUGCUCAGUUUUAAACACUAUUAGCUCAACUGUCCUUUGGUGCCUCUGGAAAUAUAGAAAUGCUAUGAUUUUCAGUAACACCUCCUGGAUUUCCAUUCUGCAGGUCUUGAGGUUGAUCAGGAACAUGGUGAGGAACUCGGCGAUUCUCUCCUCCGGAUCGGACAAGGACAAGUUGAUGAGCUUCGUGGAAACCCUAAGAAGAUCCCUCCAGAAAUCGUUGGCGAUCACUUGUGGCUGA